CCCCAUUGUCCGACAGAAAGACAGCCAUUACUUUCUCUGAACUGCCGCUCAACAGCCACCUGACCGUGACCCGGUGCUCCACUCCACUCUGAACAGAGCCACGGGAGGGGAAGGUGGCAGCGGCUGGAUCAAGGAAGUUUCCAGGACUGCUGACGGUUUCCCAGAGACUAUGGGUUGAGGAGGAAUUGGAAGUUUGUCGGCUUAGACCUGGUGUCAUUCCAUCAGUGUUAAACUUCCCGGCUCAUCUUGGAAGAGUACGUGCCAGAAAGACCACGACCAAGCAGCCUUGAGAUCUUAGGCAGCGUCUCCCUGAGACCAAAGAACUACAGGCUCUUCACAACCUGCUCAAACUCUUGGUACAGGACCUCACCACACGGGUCAAGAAGGUUUCUGUCUCAUUUCUACUCUGAAGCUCACCUUCUCCUGCUCAAACUGCUGACAAAUGUUUCUGCUGCUCUAAAGUCUGUUCUCCAGAACUUCCUAAAAACUCUCAAAGUCUCUUCUGCUGCAGGUUGCUUUGUAGAACUGUUCCAGAAAACCUCACUAAACCACAUGGAGGGGCCUCAAGAUAGUCGUCCAAAUGAAACCUUACAAAAACCAAACUAGCACAACCCAAACACUAAAGUCUCCUGCAGCCUACCAGAGAACCUCUGAGAACAGAGAAUCAGGACAGGAACUCUUACCUUCUGGACAACCAAUGUUGGUUCUCAAACAAGAAUACAGAAUGUGUCUGAUCAAAAACCUCUAAAGACUCACUACAGCCAAGAUAAAGACACAACUCAGCUGGACCAAAUCCACUAAUCACUGCACACAUUAGCACCAUGUGCUAACUGUGGCUAAAGAACCACAUUUACCAAGACAACUAUCCAGUACAAAGCCCUAAAACACACCAAGAAACACAUUAAAGACGAUUUUACUGCUGGAAGCUGCAAGCCAAUGCCUAAAGAACAAACUAAAGCAAUGGAGCCAAACCCGGUUCUGUGGUGAAGUGAAGCAGAGGAAAUGUUUGACUGCAGCUAAAUAAAACAGGAAGCGACUGAGCUGCUCAGGUGUUCCUGAUAACACCAAGCAGCCACCUGGACAGCCAAUAGGAACACAGCUUACUGGAAGUCCAGAGGGCUGGGUUAGUGAAGGAAAUUUAAUUUAAAGUUGAGGCAGAAAGUUAACAAAGAAAGUUGAAAACCACCUUCUGAUACCUGAAAUCUCUGAGUUUUCACACAAAGAACACCUG
ensembl:lncRNA